AAAGAAGAAGUUAUGUAUUCAUUGUUCUACUAGGAAGUAACUCUACCUGGUUUUUCAUCAGCAACAAUCAUUAUGCCACCCAGAGGAGAUCUUCAUCUUACACACAAAUAUACACAUUGUAGGUAGAGGUAUUCAGAAGAUAUUGAAGGUGUGGCCACAGACCAGUGUCCCGCCCCCUCAGAUUCACUACUUGAUGUUAGCACCAAUCCCAGUACAGAUUGGACUCAAUAGAUCAAUGGAAAUGAAAGAGAGGGACAGAAUGGAGACUUCAAAUUUAAUGUGUCUUGAAUGGGAGGAGACUCUGUUGUUGCUAUGGCAAGUUCAUUUAGGCUCUGAUGAGGACUUUAUUAAUGGACAAUAUUAUUAUUUGCUUUAUUUAUCAUUAUUACUACU